AUUAAUUUAAGAGCAUAUGGUGGAUGCCUAGAUACCAAAAGGGGAUGAAGGGCGUGGCGUGUCUGCGAUAAGCCUCGGGUAGGUGACGAGCAACCUUUAAUCCGGGGAUUCCCGAAUGGGGAAACCUGACGCCGUAAACCGGCGUCGUUCACUGUUUUUUACAGUGUUCCCAUACCCGCUGAAGUAAAACAUUCUAGUAAGCGGUGGAAAAGAUAAAAAUUUUAUUCCCUUAGUAGUGGCGAGCGAAAAGGGAGGAGCCCAAACCUAACGCUCCUCACUGUGUUCGGAACUAUUGCUUAUAGAUGCGGACAAGUUUGAUAAAUGCCGAUACGAAAUCGGUAUAGAUCAGUUGUAUUCGCAAAAUUAGCGUAUAGCAACGAGCGUAGCGAGGAGCGUUGGGGGUUGUAAGGUAGGGACGCAGUUUUACUGGGGAGUAACGAUUAUUUAGUCGAAUGUCUCUGGAAAGAGCGGCUAUAAAGGGUAAAAGCCCCGUAGAUAAAAAAUAAUCGCGUAUUCCUAGUUCCUAUUCUUGAGUACCUCGAGGAAUGAUGGCCUCGAGGGAAUCCGGCAGAACUAUCUGCCAAGGCUAAAUACUUUUGGUAAUCGAUAGUGCACUAGUACCGUGAGGGAAAGGUGAAAAGUAGGGCGGUUAGCCCGUUGAAAUAGAACCUGAAACCAUAUGCUUACAAGGACCAGGAGCUACCGCAUCUCACUUUGUUUGAUGCGGAAUGAUUUGUAAUUUUGAAUUUGAAUCAUUCCCAAACAUCGAAUAUAGCGAGAUGUGGUAGUGACUGGGUGCCUUUUGCAAAAUGAGCCAACGAGUUUAUGUAUAUUGCUUGUCUAAGCCCCUUCUUUUAGCCCUGAUUUUCGGGGUUAAAAGAAGGGGUGGAGGCACAGGGAAACCGAGUCUUAAAAGGGCGACAAAGGCAGUAUGUAUAAGACCCGAAGCCAGGCGAGCUACCCAUGACCAGGGUGAAUUCCGGGUAAAACCGGGAAGAGGCCCGAACUCAUUAGCGAUGCAACACUAUGGGAUGAGUUGUGGGUAGAAGUGAAAAGCUAAUCGAGCCUGGUAAUAGCUGGUUCUCCCCGAAAUAGCUUUAGGGCUAGCCCUAAGAUAGCGCUUUGGAGGUAGAGCACUGGAUGGUCUUCGGAGGAUUUUCCAACGCAGACCAAUCAAACUCCGAAUUCCAGAGUAGCGUUUCUUAGGAGUUAGAACGCGGGGGCUAAGCUCCGCGCUCGAAAGGGAAACAGCCCAGAUUGCAAUCUAAGGUCCCAAAAUCUCGGUUAAGUGGGAAAGGAUGUGAGGAUUCUCAAACAGCUAGGAGGUUGGCUUAGAGGCAGCCAUCCUUUAAAAAGUGCGUAACAGCUUACUAGUCGAGAGUUUUCGCGCCUAAAAUGUAACGGGGCUAAACCGAGUACCGAAGAUGCAAAUACCGCCGCAUCUCACUCUGUUUGAUGCGGAAUGAUUCAACUUGAAAGUUUGGAUCAAUUUUGAUUUGUCGAAUUUUGAAACAAAAAAUGUUUUGAAAUACGAGAUCGAAAUUAAAAAUUCCGAAAAAUUGAGCGAAGCGAGAUGUGGUGGUGUGGUAGGGGAGCAUUCUUUGUUCGCAGAAGUCGUUUUGUAAAAAACGGUGGAGGACAAAGAAGAGAGAAUGUUGGCACAAGUAACCGCAAUGCUGAUUAGAUUUCAGCACACCGAAAGCCCGAGGUUUCCUUGGCAAUGGAAGUCAGCCAAGGGUUAGGCGGACCUAACCUCGAUCCCAAAAGGGACCGGGGGAUGUACAGUCGGUUAAUAUUCCGACCCUUCUAUAUUUUUUCAAAAAGGUGACGGAGAUCGUAGGAUUAAGAGUGUUAUUGGAUUCACUUCGUUCAUCGUUCCUUAUUGUGUUUGAAAAGCGGUUUUAAGUUAUUUACGGGGAAAGCAUUUAAUUUAGCAGAAGCUAAAUUUUGGCAGACCGUAAAACGAUUUUNNNNNNNNNNNNNNNNNNNNNNNNNNNNNNNNNNNNNNNNNNNNNNNNNNNNNNNNNNNNNNNNNNNNNNNNNNNNNNNNNNNNNNNNNNNNNNNNNNNUCGUUAAGGAACUCGGCAAAAAAGCUAGGCGUAACUUAGGGAUAUGCCUCGCCUUUGCUCGAGAGAGUAAAGGCCGCAGCAAACGUUUGCCUGCCGACUGUUUACCAAAAACACAGGUCCCUGCAAACUCGAAAGAGGAAGUAUAGGGGCUGACGCCUGACCAAUGCCGGAACGUCAAACGAUACUUGUCGUCGUUCCUCGCUGUAUUCGUAACAAAAUAGCUUCGGCUAUUAGUGCGAAUGUAGCGAGGAGCGACGGCUCGGGUCGUAAGCGCCGGUGAAUGUCGGUCCUAACUAUAAGGAUCCUAAGGUAGCGAAAUUCCUUGGCACGUAAAUUGUGUCCCGCACGAAAGGCGUAACGAGUGGGUAACUGUCUCAACGAGGAGCCCGGUGAACAUACAAUAACAGUCAAGAUGCUGUUUUCCUGUGGCAAGACGAAAAGACCCCGGGAGCUUUACUGCAACUUUCUAUUGGUUUAUUUUUUCUAAUGCGUAGCGUAGUGGGGAGACUUUGAAUCUUCGCUUUUGGGCGGAGUGGAGUCGCCAAUGAAACACCCAUCUUUAGGGGGAAUAAUUCUAACUUUCUACUAAAUAUAGAGAAGACAGUGGAAGGCGGGCAGUUUUAGUGGGGCGCUAGACCUCCUAAAUUGUAGCGGAGGCGUUUAAAGGUCAGCUAACUCCGGAUGGAAAUCGGAGUGGUCGCGUAAAGGCAUAAGCUGGCUUUAGUCCAAGGCGGAUUGGCCGCGGACUCACGAAAGUGUAACUUAGUGAACCGAUCCCUUGUUAUAGAAAAGGGAGAGAUAAUCAGCCAAAAGUUACCCCGGGGAUAACAGGCUAGUCAGACCCGCGAGUUCAUAUCUACGGUCUGGUUCGGCACCUCGAUGUCGGCUCUUCGCAUCCUGGGACUGGAGAAGGCCCCAAGGGUUGUCCUGUUCGGACAUUAAAGCGGAACGCGAGCUGGGUUCAAACCGUCGUGAGACAGGUUGGUCUUUAUCUGCCAUAGGCGUAGAAUUUUGAAGGGAGUUUCCCGUAGUACGAGAGGACCCGGGAGAACGAACCUCUGGUGUAUCAGUUGUCGCGCCAGCGGCAUUGCUGAGUAGCUAUGUUCGGAAGGGAUAAGCGCUGAAAGCAUCUAAGCACGAAGCCCACCCUAAGAUUAGAAUUCAUAGAGUCCUUGUAGAUGACAAGGUUGAUAGGCUCAUAGUGUAAGCGCCGCGAGGCGUUGAGCUUACGAGUACUAAUUUCUCAUACUUUUUAUU
rnacentral:rRNA from 1 species